AAUAUUGCACAAUGGGCGCAAGCCUGAUGCAGCCAUGCCGCGUGUAUGAAGAAGGCCUUCGGGUUGUAAAGUACUUUCAGCAGUGAGGAAGGUGGGUAUGUUAAUAGCAUAUUCAUUUGACGUUAGCUGCAGAAGAAGCACCGGCUAACUCCGUGCCAGCAGCCGCGGUAAUACGGAGGGUGCGAGCGUUAAUCGGAAUUACUGGGCGUAAAGCGCAUGCAGGUGGUUGUUAAGUCAGAUGUGAAAGCCCGGGGCUCAACCUCGGAAUUGCAUUUGAAACUGGCAAACUAGAGUACUGUAGAGGGGGGUAGAAUUUCAGGUGUAGCGGUGAAAUGCGUAGAGAUCUGAAGGAAUACCGGUGGCGAAGGCGGCCCCCUGGACAGAUACUGACACUCAGAUGCGAAAGCGUGGGGAGCAAACAGGAUUAGAUACCCCGGUAG
rnacentral:rRNA from 1 species